AACCUCUGCAUACAGUGAUACACUGAUACAGACUUGUUGACAUUCAACAGCUGUCAUCUGCUGUCUUUGAUAUUCAUAAAUGUCGAAAAGGUAGGCUUCAUGAUUUUGUUUCUAACUUGUAAAAUACUUUUGGUAAAAUUUGAAACAAUCUCUUAGUUGUAGAAUGCAGUUUUACUACAAAUUUCUGCUUGCCCAGUGGACCAAUAAAUACCACUACAUACUGUCAUCAUGUCAUGUGUGUGUACUGCCCAAAUAUUAUGCUAUUAUAUCUCACUAGAAAUUUUUCAAAACUUUCACAUAGGAAACCUGUUACUUGAAGAAGGAAGGAAACAGGGGUUUAGGUCAAGCCUGAACAUGGAAUGUGUUUCGUGUAAAAAUGUUGAGGUCUUAGAUACAUCUGAUAGUGUAUCGCGAAGGGGGUGAUCUUAUGAUGUAAAUCAACGGAUGGUUUACAGUUCAAUCGAAAUUGGUUGUUGGCUAUGAAGGAUUGGUUACACUAUCCAGCAUUUUGUGGAGCUGCCAGUACACUGCAUAUAAUGAAAAAGCUGUUAAUUCCAGGUGGGGAAUAUACAAGCAAACGUUCGGCUUCAAAGGAUAGAAAACGUGUGAGCAUGCUGAUGUGCGAGCAACUGAAAAAGAGAAAAAGUGACGUCAAGGGGAGAAAAUUAUUUGUGUAAGAAGGGAAGAAGCUUUAAGAAAGACAGAUGUUACCACAUAUCAAGCUGGUGCCUUUUAAGUACAUCCAGAAAGACUUUGGUCAUGGAUUUGAGUACAUUAGACAUUAAUUCAUAGACAUCACAAAUAACCGAAACUUUAAAUGCCGUUUUCUCAAAAUCACCUAUUUCGCAGGUUGAAAAAGGAUAUCUCUAGAACAAUUUGACCAAUUGAUCUGAAAUUUUCAGGAUUUAUGCAUCUUACUAUGUUGUUGGGGAUGAGUUGAGGAUUUUUUCAUAUUUAGUUUUUAACCAGAGUUAUUGCAUAAAAAUACCUAGUAUAUUUAUGCGCUAACUUUAACCCUUUGUUUCUAGUGAAAUAUUUAAAAUUUUCAAAAAUCCUCAACUCAUCCCCACAAUUACUAAGUGCUAUGUCUUUUAUUAAAAAAUGGGGUGAUUUGAAUUUGCCCCUGGCAAGAUAUUUUUUUUCAACUUCAGUCUGUCGAAAAACAGCAUGUAGCCACUUUAACCACCUGGUUGCCAAUGGCAACGCAUUGUAGCCACCUUAAAUAUAUUUUUUUAGAAUCUUCAUUCCAUUAGCUUUCUCCUGAUAUAUAGUUUGCCAUAAGGUUUUUAAAAAGUAUUGCCACAACAGACCCUUUAAAGAUAGCUAGUAGCGAUUCUCAAGUUUGGGUAGACCCUCCCCUUAAUUAAUUCUUUAUAUUUUGAUUUUUUUACGCUCAACGUUUUUUUGAAGAUUUGAUUCGAAGCCAACUGUAAGUUCAACAAUAUAGAGUGUUCCGGUUGAGGUUGAAAGAAGCAAAUCUGGACGGUAGGUGUCACCAGUGAUGAUUGAUGGACUUUUGUACCCUGGGAGAUCCACGUAAAGAUGUGAGCCGCUUACGGUCUGCAG